rnacentral:rRNA from 1 species
UGGGGAAUAUUGCACAAUGGGCGCAAGCCUGAUGCAGCCAUGCCGCGUGUAUGAAGAAGGCCUUCGGGUUGUAAAGUACUUUCAGCGGGGAGGAAGGCGAUAAGGUUAAUAACCUUGUCGAUUGACGUUACCCGCAGAAGAAGCACCGGCUAACUCCGUGCCAGCAGCCGCGGUAAUACGGAGGGUGCAAGCGUGAAUCGGAAUUACUGGUCGUAAAGCGCACGCAGGCGGUCUGUCCAGUCGGAUGUGAAAUCCCCGGGCUCAACCUGGGAACUGCAUUCGAAACUGGCAGGCUAGAGUCUUGUAGAGGGGGGUAGAAUUCCAGGCGUAGCGGUGAAAUGCGUAGAGAUCUGGAGGAAUACCGGUGGCGAAGGCGGCCCCCUGGACAAAGACUGACGCUCAGGUGCGAAAGCGUGGGGAGCAAACA